UAGUCCACGCCGUAAACGAUGAGAACUAGAUGUUGGGAGGGUUUGCCUUUCGGUGUCGCAGCUAACGCGUUAAGUUCUCCGCCUGGGGAGUACGCCGGCAACGGUAAAACUCAAAGGAAUUGACGGGGACCCGCACAAGCGGUGGAGCAUGUGGUUUAAUUCGAUGCAACGCGAAGAACCUUACCUGCCCUUGACAUACUCGGAACUUUCCAGAGAUGGAUUGGUGCCUUCGGGAGCCGAGAUACAGGUGCUGCAUGGCUGUCGUCAGCUCGUGUCGUGAGAUGUUGGGUUAAGUCCCGCAACGAGCGCAACCCUUAUCUUUAGUUGCCAGCACAUUAUGGUGGGACUCUAAAGAGACUGCCUGCGCAAGCAGAGAGGAAGGAGGGGACGACGUCAAGUCAUCAUGGCCCUUACGCCCAGGGCUACACACGUGCUACAAUGGUGCAUACAGAGGGUCGCGACAUAGUAAUAUGAAGCCAAUCUCAAAAAGUGCAUCU
rnacentral:rRNA from 1 species